GCAGGGUUAGUCGGUCCCUAAGGCGAGGGCGAAAGCCGUAGCCGAUGGAAAUCCGGUUAAUAUUCCGGAACCGAGUAGUAGUGCCGUGGGGGGACGCAAUUGGGUAGGCGAGACGGCUGAUGGAUGCCGUUGAAGUAACCAGCCCGCUGCUUAGGCAAAUCCGGGCAGCAUUAAGGGCAAAUAAGCGGACGAAAGUACGAAGCUUCGGCUUCGGAAAAAGUCGCUGACCCCAGUUGCCAGGAAAAGCCUCGUUCGGCUUCAACUACUACCGACCGUACCGCAAACCGACACAGGUAGGCGGGGUGAGAAUCCUAAGGUGCUUGUGAGAACCCUCGUUCAGGAACUCGGCAAAUUAGCCCCGUAACUUCGGGAGAAGGGGUGCCUCGCGUAGGGUUAACAGCCCGAGGAGGCCGCAGAGAAAUGUCCCAGGCGACUGUUUAACAAAAACACAGGUCUCCGCAAAGUCGUAAAGACGAUGUAUGGGGGCUGACGCCUGCCCAAUGCCGGAAGGUUAAAGGGAGGGGUUAGCUCGAAAGAGCGAAGCUCCAAACCGAAGCCCCGGUGAAUGGCGGCCGUAACUAUAACGGUCCUAAGGUAGCGAAAUUCCUUGUCGGGUAAGUUCCGACCUGCAUGAAUGGCGUAACGACUUGGGAACUGUCUUAACGAGGGGCACAGCGAACUUGUAGUACCGGUGAAGAUGCCGGUUACCCGCAUCGGGACGGAAAGACCCCGUGCACCUUUACUACAACCUGACAGUGAUUUCGGGCAAAUGAUGCGCAGGAUAGGUGGGAGGCUGUGAAGCUGGGCUUUCGGGUUCAGCAGAGCCGACGGUGAGAUACCACCCUUCGUUUGCUUGGAAUCUAACCUAGAACCGUAAUCCGGUUCAGGGACACUGUUAGGCGGGUAGUUUGACUGGGGCGGUCGCCUCCUAAAGAGUAACGGAGGCGCUCGAAGGUUGGCUCAGGCUGUUUGGAAAUCAGCCGUAGAGUGCAAACGCAUAAGCCAGCCUGACUGCGAGACACACAAGUCGAGCAGGGACGAAAGUCGGAGUUAGUGAUCCGGCGGUUCCGUAUGGAAGGGCCGUCGCUCAACGGAUAAAAGGUACGCCGGGGAUAACAGGCUGAUCCUGCCCAAGAGUUCACAUCGACGGCGGGGUUUGGCACCUCGAUG
rnacentral:rRNA from 1 species